GGACUACCCGGGUUUCUAAUCCUGUUUGCUCCCCACGCUGUCGCGCCUCAGUGUCAGCAACGGCCCAGCAGAACGCCUUCGCCACUGGUGUUCUUCCCGAUCUCUACGCAUUCCACCGCUACACCGGGAAUUCCAUCUGCCUCUACCGUGCUCGAGCCCGCCAGUCUUACCGGCAGCCCCGGAGUUGAGCCCCGGGAUUUCACCGGCAACUUAACGGGCCACCUACGCGCCCUUUACGCCCAGUGAUUCCGGACAACGCUCGCACCCUCCGUAUUACCGCGGCGGCUGGCAC
rnacentral:rRNA from 1 species